rnacentral:tRNA from 1 species
UAACCGACAUGGUCAAGGGGUUAAGACACUACACUUUUAAUGUAGAGGCGUGAGUUCGAAUCUCACUACGGUUAU